CCUGCGGACCCCCCUCCCCGGCCCUGCCCUCACGGGCGGAGCGCCCGCCGGAGGAUACCAAACUCUAUUUUAACGACGUUUCUUCUGAGUGGCACAAGCAAAUAAUUAAAACUUUCAACAACGGAUCUCUUGGUUCUGGCAUCGAUGAAGAACGCAGCGAAAUGCGAUAAGUAAUGUGAAUUGCAGAAUUCAGUGAAUCAUCGAAUCUUUGAACGCACAUUGCGCCCGCCAGCAUUCUGGCGGGCAUGCCUGUUCGAGCGUCAUUUCAACCCUCAAGCUCUGCUUGGUGUUGGGGCCCUACGGUUGACGUAGGCCCUUAAAGGUAGUGGCGGACCCUCUCGGAGCCUCCUUUGCGUAGUAACUAACGUCUCGCACUGGGAUUCGGAGGGACUCUUGCCGUAAAACCCCCAAAUUUUUAAAGGUUGACCUCGGAUCAGGUAGGAAUACCCGCUGAA
rnacentral:rRNA from 1 species